ACUUAAAUUUUUCCUGUAGUUAAAAUCGUAUGAGAUUCCCAAUAACUCCAGCUGCAGACAGUCGACAUUAUCUCCCUGUAAAGUACAGCAUCAAUGUUUGCCACCAUACGCCCGAUUGGUCCCAAAUCAAUCUGGGGCUAUCGGCAAUCCGAGAAGUAGCUAUUAUCUGCCCACCCAGACCUGGGAAAUACCUACAGCCUAUGAUGUCCUGUACAGAAUAACCUACACAUCUCACGCAAGCGUGCAAGCUUGGCCAGUCUUGUCUCAGGAACUGGGCUACCGUGGCACCAACAGCCUCUACCACUUCGUGGCCCCUCUCACUUCCAUCACAGACACCAAAGCUUUGAUCAUCCCAAACAACUGUGUGCCUAAUGACGCUCUGGCGGCUAUCAAAACGAAAUAGAAUUAUGGGUUUAGUUUUUCAAAGCAAAAUACAAACUCUUAUUUUUAAAAACAUCCAUGUUAUAUUAUGAUAUAUGUAUUUAGAUUAUUUACAUAUGUACAGUAUAUUCAAUCUCUGCAAAACUCACUUAUAUUGUACGAGUCUGAAGGUACACUCAGGGUGCUAGCUAUAGAAUCCAUAGCCAUAGAUCAUAUUCAAGUUUGGCAUUUAAAAAAAAUUAGAUGGUUGCACGAUAAAUGCUACUACAUAUUUAUUUAUCCUAAUUAAAAAUUU
rnacentral:sRNA from 1 species